rnacentral:rRNA from 1 species
ACAAGCAUGGCGUUGGUUGUCCAUGUGAAAGUGAGUAGGUUGAGAGUUUAGGAAAAUCCGGACUCUUAAGACUGAGACACGAGACGAGCACCCAAGGGUGUGAAGUUGUUGAUGCCAUACUUCCAGGAAAAGCCUCUAAGCUUCAGAUUAUACCGAAUCGUACCCCAAACCGACACAGGUGGUCAGGUAGAGAAUACUAAGGCGCUUGAGAGAACUCGGGUGAAGGAACGAGGCAAAAUUGUACCGUAACUUCGGGAGCAGGUUCGCGCCGAUCUAUGCUGUGACGUGCACUCUAAGCGGACGGG